rnacentral:lncRNA from 1 species
GGAGCCAGCUCUGCCCUGAAGGGGCUGAAGCCCACCCGGCCUGCAGCUGCUUCCUGCUGCAGGACAGCCCUGGAAGGUCUGCAGCUCCCGUCAAAGGUGCAGAGGGUGCAGGCCCAUUUCACAAUGGGGAAGACUGAUGCUCAGAGAAUAGCCAGUAUGCUUGAUCAUACCGGUGGCAUGUGGCAGAGAAGGCUGAAGUCCAGGUUCUACUGUUGGCAAAGCUUGGGCCCUUUCCACUCUGCUGUGCCUUCCUCACCUCCACAGUGACCUGGACAUGAAAGGCCCUCUUGGAUGAACUGGUAGUGUCACUGGCAGCAGCUGCUAGGCUACCAGGCUGGGCUGGCUUGCCAUCCUGGCUUCCCCACUGGCCGGCACAGAUCUUCACGGAUUGCAGCAUUCAGGACCUGAGUCCAUGCCCAUGCAGAGGCCCAUUGCAGUGUUUGCUUAGCAUAGCUGCAUUUCCAGAAUGUAGGCAGGAGAAGCUGUAAAAGAUUCUCACCCUGCCAUGCACACUGAUGGCUCACAUUCUAAAGAGUCAGGAGUCAUUUUGGAUUUGGGCUGACCUGGUAGACUUCUGAAAGACAGUGCUCUGGGUUCAAGUUGUCCUCAGAGUCAAACUUCAGACUCACCUGAGACUCACCCUCUGUCGCCAGGCUGGACUGCAGUGGCGCGAUCUCGGCUCACUGCAACCUCUGCAUCCCGGGUCCGGGUUCAAGCAAUUCUCUCAUCUCAGCCUCCCAAAUAGCUGGGAUUACAGACUCGCGCCACCAUAUCCAGCUAAUUUUUGUAUUUUUAGUAGAGACGGAGUUUCACCAUGUUGGCCAGGCUGGUCUUGAACUCCUGACCUCGUGAUCUGCCCGCCUCGGCCUCCCGAAGUAAGAUGCAAUUCUUUAUGGGGCCAGAGAGAAGUUCAAAAGCCACUGUUCUAGAAAGAGUUCUCUCUGGCAUUUUAUUGAAGCAAUUGCAAGUUUGAAGUCAGUGCUAGCAGUGUUUGGUAGUCAGGCCACCAGUGAGAACUCAGCUUCAUCAUUCCGGAAACCUCUGUGCUUUGCUCCCCUCCAUGGAAGAGCCUCACCAGUGAGCCAUUUGGGUUCUCUUAAAAUGAGACAGAACAUCAUUGCUUGGUGCUGAUCAAGGAACACAACUCUGUCCUUCCUCCCAGGGAAGCAGUCGCCAUAGGCUGGCACAGACUGGUGGGGUCAGCCCUGCAUGGUGAACAGUAUGGGUACCCACCCAGUGCCCCCACCCAGAGGCCUGUCAUCAAGAGAGAUCAGCCUCUGAGCAGCCAGUUCAGGGGACAUUGGUCAUUGAGGAGAUGAGGUGCCACUGCCACUUCCCCACUCCUCACCUGGGUGGCCUCCCAGCUCCCACCUCCUUCUUUACCCUCCAGACCUAAUCCAUUCCCCACUGGGUGUGUCAGACCACAAAGCCUCCUGCUUAAAGCCAUUCGCAGGCUCGCCACUGCUCCUAAUGCCUCCCGGUGAACUCCUUGCUGCUGUCCACAUGGCCAGCUCCCCUGGCCCCUUCUGACCUGCUCACUGUCUCCCCAGCUGCCCACCCGACCCCAGGCCAGCUCAUGCCGCCUGAGCAUCUCUGCCACACUGCUUCUGCAUGCUUCUCCUCACCUUUGCAUGCCCGGCUCCUGGUCACCUGCAUUUCAGCUACACAGUGCCUCUUUAGAGAGCUUCCCUCCUCCCAUCACUCCUGAAGUCCUGUCCUCUCAUUGACUUGUUGUCCUGUUGAUGCCCUCUUCACUGUUCUGGCUGACUAUGGCUGCAUUUAAAAGCACCUCAAAGCUCAGUGGCUUAGAACAACAAUUUGUUAUUCUCUCCCAUGGUGCUGUGGGUAGAUUGGGCUUGGCCACACCAUCCUCACAAUGGUGAGGCUUCAGAUCCAAUCAGACAGUGCCCAGACCUGGAGUCUCUGAAACCUCUGCUGAGCGGAUGUCCAAGAUGGUGCCUUCAUCUAUGUGCCUGGCCAAAGAUGUUGGCUUUCAGCUGUCCUCUCGGCCUGGGAUCUCAGGAGUGCCCGUAUGAGCCCUCUCCACUCAGCCUCUCCUAGCAUGGUGGCCAGGUCCCAAGAGGGAGCAUCCCAAGGGCCAGGUCCCAAGAGUUGACAAGGAGCUGCAAGGCCUCUGGAUAGCCUGGGCUUGGAAGAAUCAGAACUUGUAUUGGUUGACAAAGUCACAGAGGUUGGCCCAGAGUCAAGUGGGAGAGAUGAGGCCCUUGAAAGGGACUGGCAAGGCCACACCGCGGAAGAGACAGUGGGAUGCUAGAUGUUAUUCAGCCAUCUUUGGAAAAUGCAACCUGCCGCUUCAGACUCACCUGAGGUCAUUGCUUCCACUUCUUCCACUUCUUUUUCUUUUUUUCCUUCUUUCUCUUUCUUUCUUUCUUUCUUUUCUUUCUUUCUUUCUUUCUUUCUUCUUUCUUUCUUUCUUUCUUUCUUUCUUUCCUUCUUUCUUGUCUUUUCUUUCUCUCUUUCUCUCUUUCUUUCUUUCUUUCGCCCACUCCAGUGGAUUGGAAGCAAGAGCCUUG